UACGUAGGGUGCAAGCGUUGUCCGGAAUUAUUGGGCGUAAAGAGCUCGUAGGCGGUCUGUUGCGUCGGCUGUGAAAACCCGGGGCUCAACCCCGGGCCUGCAGCCGAUACGGGCAGACUAGAGUUCGGCAGGGGAGACUGGAAUUCCUGGUGUAGCGGUGAAAUGCGCAGAUAUCAGGAGGAACACCGGUGGCGAAGGCGGAUCCCUGGGCCGAUACUGACGCUGAGGAGCGAAAGCGUGGGGAGCGAACAGG
rnacentral:rRNA from 1 species